GAGUUUGAUCCUGGCUCAGAUUGAACGCUGGCGGCAUGCUUUACACAUGCAAGUCGGACGGCAGCACGGGUGCUUGCACCUGGUGGCGAGUGGCGAACGGGUGAGUAAUGCAUUGGAACGUACCGAGUAGUGGGGGAUAACUGUCCGAAAGGAUAGCUAAUACCGCAUACGACCUCAGGGUGAAAGCAGGGGACCUUAGGGCCUUGCGCUAUUUGAGCGGCCAAUGUCUGAUUAGCUGGUUGGUGGGGUAAAGGCCUACCAAGGCGACGAUCAGUAGCGGGUCUGAGAGGAUGAUCCGCCACACUGGGACUGAGACACGGCCCAGACUCCUACGGGAGGCAGCAGUGGGGAAUUUUGGACAAUGGGCGCAAGCCUGAUCCAGCCAUGCCGCGUGUCUGAAGAAGGCCUUCGGGUUGUAAAGGACUUUUGUACGGGAAGAAAAGGUUGUGGAUAAUACCCAUGACUGAUGACGUACCGUAAGAAUAAGCCCC
rnacentral:rRNA from 1 species